GGCCUCUCUCCCACAGAGCUGGGAGGGGUCUCUUUUCUCCUCAGCCUGGGCUGGAUGCCAAGAUCAGCUGUUGAGGAUCUUUGCUGCAACUGCCACAAGCUGGGCAGCCUUGUGUUUUCCUACUUCAGAUGUUG
ensembl:snoRNA